rnacentral:tRNA from 1 species
GCCUGGGUGGUUCAGUUGGUUGAGCAUCUGACUUAGGCUCAGGCAUUUAGGCUCAGGCUGUGAUCUCACAGUUUGUGAGCUCGAGCCCCACAUCAGGCU